AUUGAACGCUGGCGGCAUGCCUUACACAUGCAAGUCGAACGGUAACAGGUUAAGCUGACGAGUGGCGAACGGGUGAGUAAUAUAUCGGAACGUGCCCAGUCGUGGGGGAUAACUGCUCGAAAGAGCAGCUAAUACCGCAUACGACCUGAGGAUGAAAGCGGGGGAUCGCAAGACCUCGCGCGAUUGGAGCGGCCGAUAGCAGAUUAGCUAGUUGGUGGGGUAAAAGCCUACCAAGGCAACGAUCUGUAGCUGGUCUGAGAGGACGACCAGCCACACUGGGACUGAGACACGGCCCAGACUCCUACGGGAGGCAGCAGUGGGGAAUUUUGGACAAUGGACGAAAGUCUGAUCCAGCCAUGCCGCGUGCGGGAAGAAGGCCUUCGGGUUGUAAACCGCUUUUGUCAGGGAAGAAAGGGUUCUGGUUAAUACCUGGGACUCAUGACGGUACCUGAAGAAUAAGCACCGGCUAACUACGUGCCAGCCGCCGCGGUAA
rnacentral:rRNA from 1 species